CAGCCGCCGCGGUAAUACGGAGGGUGCAAGCGUUAAUCGGAAUUACUGGGCGUAAAGCGCACGCAGGCGGUCUGUCAAGUCAGAUGUGAAAUCCCCGGGCUUAACCUGGGAACUGCAUUUGAAACUGGCAGGCUAGAGUCUUGUAAAGGGGGGUAGAAUUCCAGGUGUAGCGGUGAAAUGCGUAGAGAUCUGGAGGAAUACCGGUGGCGAAGGCGGCCCCCUGGACAAAGACUGACGCUCAGGUGCGAAAGCGUGGGGAGCAAACAGGAUUAGAGACCCCAGUAGUCCCUGUCUCUUAUAC
rnacentral:rRNA from 1 species